rnacentral:rRNA from 1 species
GUCGAUUGAAGGUGCACGGGUGGAGGUAUAAAUGGAGGAGGCAGGUUUGUAACAAUUUUUUUGUUAAAAGGAAUAGGUAGAGAAGGGGGGAGGGGGCUAAGGAAAGGAUGGUCCCGAGGUAUUGGUGCUACGGCGCACGUGGCGACGGCAGCGGAGGAUACUAAACCCGCUCGAGGCCGCGAGAGGGCGCCGUAUCGAGCGGCCGGGACGAGGGGAAUCACGAGGGCGGCUAGGAGGUGGUGGCGCUGCAGGAAUUGUGGGACGAGCACGGGGACGUAGUUGGAUCAGUGGUGCCCAGCACCAGCGUCGACGACGGGGAGGCCAACCAGCCGAGUGAUGGGGGCGUAGAAGCCUGCGCGCUAGUGACGGUGUCCGACCUACCGCGACAAGGUGGUGUAGAUGGAGCAGAGACCGCGGCCAUCAAAUCACUUUGUGAAGAGGGGAUAAAAUAAUAGGAGAGACCACGAAAUACACCGUACCUAUGGUUCCCAAACAGCAGCACCGCAGCAUCUACUACCGACCUAUAUGGUUAUUGAUGCCGGCGAGAGAGGGUCCCUCCAACGGUACCAGCGGAUGACGGAUGGAGUAGCGAGUGGACCUAAUAGAGGUACUUCUUGCACUGUUAGGAUAAUAAAGGUGAUUAUACAAGGGGGGCUAAAUUGUUGUCCCACCGAAGAUAUUAAGGUAACCUUAAACCAAGGGAUAGAAGAGAUUGGAAGGUGAGCACGAUACCCACCUGGUAAAUGAAAUCAAUUUAAUACCGAUCACAAGAGAAGAAAAACAACAACUUCCUUUGGACUAGGAGAUUAAAACGAUACGUCCAAAGACGACCACUAGAAGACGAAAUCAUCAAGUUUGGUAUCAGCAUAAACAUAUAGGUAUACAUGAAUAAAGAGAUCUACAUAUAGUAUGAGAUCUCACGAUCUAAUGUGACGUCUUGUUUCGUUCAUAAAACGGAGCCUACUGAUAACAGGUGGUUAGAACAAAUAUAGUUACGAACGUAGGAGACUCCGAAUAGUCAUCUCUUAGAUCAAAAGGUACCUUUGUUCCCACUAGUGCGUAAUAAAUAAGUGAGUACAAUGAUUUCGAAGACAGCAGUUCUUCCGUCAUUAUAAGGUUCACGUAUUGAUGAAGAAUAAGUCAUUAUAAUUCGUACUAAUAUGUCUGGAUGUAUAAUUUUUCCAUAUACUUAGUAUCAGAUCUGUAGAGUGUGAACGAUCGUACGCAUUCACACAUACAUUUAAACUAGCUAAACUACCAAAACAAAUUGAAAUCCAUGAAGAUUUAAGAGUAUACAAACAUAAAUAAGCGUAUAAUACUACUUGACGUUAGAAAAAAUCUAGUCUUCCUACGUAGUGUUGUUUUUUACGAAGUGCUCUGAAGAAAAUAAGAGUGGUCAUUAGUCUAACGCGUAAACUACUCACGACGUUCGACCCUUCCAUUUAUACUGGUCUCUACUACCGUCAUGCAGUUACUGCAGUACUAUUAAUUGACAUUGUUGAUGAGACACGGAUACCGAUACGAGACUGAAGCCUUCACGUUUGGUUAUUUUUCUCUCUACUUCGUAUACGUCAAAUGAUAUCGACGUUAACCGUACUUGAUAGAAAUCCUAUACCUCAAUACCUACGGUCCUCUUUGACUACUAAAACCAAAAUCAAUUACUUUCGACUUGUACAGUCAGAUCUACGAGUACACUACUCGAAUCAAUAAAAAGAAAGGAAGUUCCUUCGAAGCUGGACAAAGACAUAUCUCACGUGUACAAAAACAUUUUGUGUACACAUGUUCGACUAUCGCAAGAAACAUUUCGUUGUUACACAAGAAACAUUUUGUUGUAACAACUAAAUUAUAUACUCCAGAAAGAAUGAUAUAAU